rnacentral:rRNA from 1 species
AUUGAACGCUGGCGGCAGGCCUAACACAUGCAAGUCGAGCGGAGAGGCGGACGGGUGAGUAAUGCCUAGGAAUCUGCCUGGUAGUGGGUGAUAACGUACGGAAACGGGCGCUAAUACCGCAUACUAUCAGAUGAGCCUAGGUCGGAUUAACUAGUGGGUGGGGUAACGUCUUACCAGUGCGACGAUCCGUAACUGGUCUGAGAGGAUGAUCAGUCACAUUGGAACUCGGACGCAGUCCAGACUCCUGCGGGAGGCAGCAGGGGGGAAUAUUGGACAAUGGGCGAAAGCCUGAUCCAGCCAUGCCGCGUGUGUGAAGAAGUUCUGCGGAUUGUAAAGCACUUUAAGUUUGGAGGCGUUACCAACAGAGUAAGCACCGGCUAACUUCGUGCCAGCAGCCGCGGUAAUUC